CCGCCAAUCGCUCUCCCCAAUCCCCACAGCCACCACUAGCGCCUUCCCCCAGUCUCCUCAGCCAUCUCCGUGCGCCUUCCGUCCCGCUCGCGCCGCCGCCACAAGCUGCACCGUUGCCGGGAGGAGCACUCCGUCCCCUACAGCCUGCUGGCUCAGCCGCAUCUCCCGAUGCCAAAUCCUCUCUCUCCAUCCCUUUUGGUUCUUGAUUUUGUUUUCUUUGAGAUUUCCUUUUGCUUUUCCUGAGAUUUGUUUGUUCUUGUGCUCUAUUUCAUAAUAGAUUUGUUCUGUAUUUUCGUUUUUUGAUUUUUCCGUCCGGAUACUCUUUAGUUUUUUUAUCAGAUUUAUGUUUAUCUGAGCCCCCUGCCCUGCAUCCUCGUGCCUUUUUUCCAGGGACUUUUUCCAGGGACUCACCUUCUUGGUGCUCAUCGUUAGUUUGAUGGUGGUGUACUGACGCCAGUGAGAACUAGGAGGAGGAAGAGGACACAAAGAGAGAGAUGGAGCGGCAAGACUACAAGAUCCCAGAUGCAAGUCGAGAUAAGAGAGAAGGGGCCGGUUCAGAUUAGCACUCCACAUCCUAUGGCAGUUGGCACGCUAGGACAUGGGAAAGCUCAGCUCAGCCGGUAGCCAUGAUGCACCCCCCUUCCCAAAUUUUCAAUGAGGACGAGCUUCCGGGUUCCGCAGCUUGAAUGGUGUGGAGCUCCAUCACUUUUGCUGAAUGGCUCACCAAACCAUUGUUUCUACAGCCUGUGAUGUUGAUCGAGAAGCAUAAAUGGAGACAAGUUCACCUCAUAGUGCCCUUGAAAAACUAAGAUUGCAGCUGCUGAUUCCAGUCACAAUGAUGAGUUCUCUGACCAUGCCAGCAUGGCAAAAGUGACAUUGUUUGAGGAAACAUUGCGUGAGUGAAGUGAAGUUGGAUGAGGGGAUUCGGUGUGUCAUAUGCGCCUCUGCCCUGGAGCUGGGUGGGCCACGGCUCAAUUUGGCCCUCAGUAGCUUCACCGGUGCUCCCAAACAACGUCGUGAGGACGAGCUUCCGGGUUCCGCAGCUUGAAUGGUGUGGAGCUCCAUCACUUUUGCUGAAUGGCUCACCAAACCAUUGUUUCUACAGCCUGUGAUGUUGAUCGAGAUUCCAGUCACAAUGAUGAGUUCUCUGACCAUGCCAGCAUGGCAAAAGUGACAUUGUUUGAGGAAACAUUGCGUGAGUGAAGUGAAGUUGGAUGAGGGGAUUCGGUGUGUCAUAUGCGCCUCUGCCCUGGAGCUGGGUGGGCCACGGCUCAAUUUGGCCCUCAGUAGCUUCACCGGUGCUCCCAAACAACGUCGUGAGGACGAGCUUCCGGGUUCCGCAGCUUGAAUGGUGUGGAGCUCCAUCACUUUUGCUGAAUGGCUCACCAAACCAUUGUUUCUACAGCCUGUGAUGUUGAUCGAGAUUCCAGUCACAAUGAUGAGUUCUCUGACCAUGCCAGCAUGGCAAAAGUGACAUUGUUUGAGGAAACAUUGCGUGAGUGAAGUGAAGUUGGAUGAGGGGAUUCGGUGUGUCAUAUGCGCCUCUGCCCUGGAGCUGGGUGGGCCACGGCUCAAUUUGGCCCUCAGUAGCUUCGCCGGUGCUCCCAAACAACGUCGGUGACAUCUUAAAACGGGAGCUUGACUAUCGCAUCCAUGUUGCAUCUGUACAGGUUUUCAAGAAUUUAUCCGUUUGUGUUUCUAUCAUAUUACUUGCAAUAAAUUGACACUGGGACAAGAUUUUGUAAUUCGUUUGGUUGCUUCUGUACGGCAAUCCUUAUUUUCAAGGUCAUGGGGCUCAGUGGUCAGCAUGGCCGUCGCCGUCAUCGGUUCUACUUGUCUUCAGGCCUGAAGUUUGGCUCAGAUUUGGAAACAAGACCAAAACAAUUCAUAUACAUUCGAAACUUAUGAAGAUAAAGCAUGGAAAGUAUAAGCUAUAUGUACAGAACAUUCAUUGGAGAACAUUUCCAUGCUUGUGAACAGACGGAAAGUACAAUACCUCAAGUGAGCUUCUUCUCUUCUUAAUUAAUCCAGAUCCAGGUGUGAAUCGUUGCUGAGUGCCUAGAUUUAAAUGAGUGCUCGGAUUUUUUUGCUUAUGAUAGGUGCUGGCUUUCUUUUGAAUAUUGUUGCAGAUGAAGUACUAAAAUCGAUGUAGCAUUAUCAAUUAGGUAUGGUUAGUAUAUAUAGCAGUAGCGGGUGAGAACUAAAUCUACCAUAGAGAGAAGUACUGUUUACUCUACAAAGGUCUUUUAAUCAGUGAGUUAUAUCUUUCUGACAGAUAUACACAUGAUGCACCUGUUUUUUGCUUAUGAUAGGUUCUCACUUGCUUUUGAAUAGUUGAUGCCAACCUCUUAAAUUAUGGAAGACUUUCUUCGUGGCUAUUACUACAGCUGUUAGACUCAACCCUUUCCUGUCUUGAUAGCUCAAAAUAAUUUUUAUUUCCCAUCGUUAGCAUAUGCUCUCCUCUCCUAGGCAGUAGUUUUUUCGCCAUGCCCUCAUGUAUAUUUUUGUUACAAAUUCAGCUACGCCUUUGUGUAUUUCAGAGGGUGUUGCCACUGAAGUCAGGUGUUUGCCUUUUCUCCAACCUGUACUUUUUGUUUACAUAAAUGUUUGCAUGUUCUGUUUCUAAAGGGUAUUUUUCAUGUUUUGUGUUGGUUGGGUUCUUUUCAUUUUAUCCCUUCCAUACCACAUGGUGCUCUGCUAUUCAUUUGUUGUGGUUGGUUGCUUCACAGUGUCAUUUUCCCUCCUAUUCCUACCAAUGCCCAAGGUGGGUGGUGAUGUUUCUAUCCCUGGAGGCGUUGCUGAUCUCAAGUUACAAACAUAGAUAAAUUGUUGACUCUAUUCAUGUGUCUGUAAUCUCCAUGAAAGUAUCCCCGCUCAUUGGUUUAUUUCCAUAUUGUUAGUUCUUCAUGUGUGUAUGGACAAUGUUGCCAGCAAUAUUGCAAAUAGUUUAGAUGAUAUCCCGAAUUAAGGUUCGCUUGAAAUUUUCAAUGUGCACCUCAUCUCUGUUCUUUUA